CGCAAGCCUGACGGAGCAAGACCGCGUGGGGGAGGAAGGCUCUUGGGUUGUAAACCCCUUUUCUCAGGGAAGAACCAAAUGACGGUACCUGAGGAAUCAGCCUCGGCUAACUCCGUGCCAGCAGCCGCGGUAAUACGGAGGAGGCAAGCGUUAUCCGGAAUGAUUGGGCGUAAAGCGUUCGUAGGUGGCUAUUCAAGUCUGCUGUCAAAGACAGAAGCUCAACUUCUGAAAGGCAGUGGAAACUGAGUAGCUGGAGUGCGGUAGGGGCAGAGGGAAUUCCCGGUGUAGCGGUGAAAUGCGUAGAGAUCGGGAAGAACACCAGUAGCGAAAGCGCUCUGCUGGACCGCAACUGACACUCAGGGACGAAAGCUAGGGGAGCG
rnacentral:rRNA from 1 species